UACGUAGGGUGCAAGCGUUGUCCGGAAUUAUUGGGCGUAAAGAGCUCGUAGGCGGUCUGUCGCGUCGGCUGUGAAAACCCGGAGCUCAACUCCGGGCCUGCAGUCGAUACGGGCAGACUGGAGUUCGGCAGGGGAGACUGGAAUUCCUGGUGUAGGCGGUGAAAUGCGCAGAUAUCAGGAGGAACACCGGUGGCGAAGGCGGGUCUCUGGGCCGAUACUGACGCUGAGGAGCGAAAGCGUGGGGAGCGAACAGG
rnacentral:rRNA from 1 species